AUACGGAGGGUGCGAGCGUUAAUCGGAAUUACUGGGCGUAAAGCGUACGUAGGCGGUUGGUUAAGUUAGAUGUGAAAGCCCCGGGCUUAACCUGGGAACUGCAUUUAAAACUGACGAACUAGAGUUGAGUAGAGGGGAGUGGAAUUUCAGGUGUAGCGGUGAAAUGCGUAGAGAUCUGAAGGAACACCAGUGGCGAAGGCGACUCCCUGGACUCGAACUGACGCUGAGGUACGAAAGCGUGGGUAGCAAACGGGAUUAGAAACCCUGGUAGUCC
rnacentral:rRNA from 1 species